rnacentral:rRNA from 1 species
GGGGGCAAUUAUACCAAGACUAAUACACCAGAUUCCAUUAGAUCUCCACAGUUAAGUAUACUUAGGCAAUAACAGUACUAAGUUAGGUGAUCACUUCAGAAGCCUUUGUGUUACAAUUC